rnacentral:lncRNA from 10 species
CCACAAACGGAUUAUAGGUGUGCUAUGAAUUACUGCGUUCCUCAGCUCUCAGAAUGUGCCUCUAGCCAAGAGAAGCCUCAUCAGAGUCUUCUUGGGGACUGGUCUGAGCAGUGUAGGAGUCCAAGGACCACCCUCAUAGUCCCUAGAGGAGGCAGUGGGCACCAUGAGUCACAUUUACCAUGCAUUUCUCCACUAUAAUGCCCUGAAUGCACACAGCCAAGAAGAGGAGAAAGCUGAAGCACCAGAUGGUUAAAAGGACUGUUCAAGACAGCCUUGCAAUUUUGACCAAGGAAGAAAGCUGAAGAGUGCUAGGGCAAGAGAGGAACUACGUCCAGAACAAUUCAUAAUUCCAAAUUCUCACUUCCAUGAUUUCAAUGCUGAAUGUGUACUUCUCUAGCUAAAAAUACAAUUGCUUAAGUAAAAUCAUCAUUAUUUACAGUCUUGCUGAAUUGUGGUGUUGUUAUUAACCAGAAACAACAGCUUAAGUCAUUGUGUUUUGAAAUACUUGAUUUAUUAUCCUGAUUGUUUGAAAAUGCUACCUGAAAUUUUUCCUGGCACUUUUGAGUCAUUCUCACCAGGUACACACAUCUGGUGUUUCUCCAUGACACAGUAGCUGUUCCCCCUUUAAUUUCUUUCUUCUUCCUAACAGACACUGGAGUUAUAAUAUCAAACUUCCAUUCAUGAUGAAUAUUUGAACUACCAUGGAGACUGAGAGUCCAGGGAAGAAAAUAUGUCCUGUUGAUAUGUAUCUCAAUGCAUCUUCCUUUCUAUCUUCUUCCUGGGGCAGCCUCACAUAUAAUUCAG